UAGUGUUCAUGAGAAUAUGAUACUGCCUAAAUCAGAUAUGUUUGUAUUUCUCAGGGACGAAGGGCCUAUGAUAAAACAAAGAGACUACUAGCGUUGGAGCAUAAUCAAGCGUGGUUACAAAGGCGGGAAUGAAGACAGAACUUUAAGGCCUUCUACAAUGCAAGAUGCUUAGAAAAAUAAAUCAGCUUUUUCCUAAACAUCAGUGCUUAUUUAUACAGGGUAGACGCUUAAUUACACCCCUCCUGUAGAAAUAUGCAUUGGUUCUUAAGAAAAACUUGGUUUACUGCUGUUACACCAACUGCCCCUGCCACUACAAAUUAAAUGUGCAAAUUCCAGAAAAAGAUGAACCAUAUACUGAAGCACGCGCGCUGCAAUUGAAUUAUGAGGUACUUUUGUUUCUAAGUAGUUAUAGUGUUCAUGAGAAUAUGAUGCUGCCUAAAUAAGUUAUGUUUGUAUUUCUCAGGAACGAAGGGCCUAUGAUAAACCAAAGAGACUACUAGCGUUGGAGCAUAAUCAAGCGUGGUUACAAAGGCGGGAAUGAAGAUGGAACUUUAAGGCCUUCUACAAUGCAAGAUGCUUAGAAAAAUAAAUCAGUUUUUUCUUAAAUAACAGUGCUUAUUUAUAUAGGGUAAACGCUUAAUUGCACCCCUCCUGGUUCCUAAGAAAAACUUGGUUAUAAAAAUUUGUCGUAGCCGUAACCCUGUGUACCAAGUUGUGUCCAACGACCAGCUUACAGAAUCUCAGCCUUUUGUUUACUUUUGGCAAGAGCUCACAUCAUGUCGUGAUUGGAAAAUUUGAAGGUACUUCAUAUGUACUCCCUACUCCCUGUGUUCACCGAAAGAGGACGAUUUAGACUGACCAUGCAAUCUUUAAACGUCUUACAUUUAUGAACAGAGAGUAUUUU
rnacentral:lncRNA from 1 species